AUACGAAGGGGGCUAGCGUUGUUCGGAUUUACUGGGCGUAAAGCGCACGUAGGCGGAUUGAUUAGUUAGGGGUGAAAUCCCGAGGCUCACCCUCGGAACUGCCUUUAAUACUGUCAAUCUCGAGACCGGAAGAGGUGAGUGGAACUCCUAGUGUAGAGGUGGAAUUCGUAGAUAUUAGGAAGAACACCAGUGGCGAAGGCGGCUCACUGGUCCGGUACUGACGCUGAGGUGCGAAAGCGUGGGGAGCGAACAGGAUUAGAUACCCCGGUAGUCC
rnacentral:rRNA from 1 species